rnacentral:rRNA from 1 species
UGGGGAAUAUUGCACAAUGGGCGCAAGCCUGAUGCAGCCAUGCCGCGUGUAUGAAGAAGGCCUUCGGGUUGUAAAGUACUUUCAGCGGGGAGGAAGGUGUUGUGGUUAAUAACCUCAGCAAUUGACGUUACCCGCAGAAGAAGCACCGGCUAACUCCGUGCCAGCAGCCGCGGUAAUACGGAGGGUGCAAGCGUUAAUCGGAAUUACUGGGCGUAAAGCGCACGCAGGCGGUCUGUCAAGUCGGAUGUGAAAUCCCCGGGCUCAACCUGGGAACUGCAGCCGAAACUGGCAGGCUUGAGUCUUGUAGAGGGGGGUAGAAUUCCAGGUGUAGCGGUGAAAUGCGUAGAGAUCUGGAGGAAUACCGGUGGCGAAGGCGGCCCCCUGGACAAAGACUGACGCUCAGGUGCGAAAGCGUGGGGAGCAAACA